UGACCUCAAGGUCCUUCUUUCAGGGAUCUUGCCAGGAAGUUCAGUUGGCAGGAUGGCAGCAGCAGACACACAGGGUGGUUAAGAACAACAAACACAGGCAAACCACUUCAAUAGAACAUGGCUGGCGGCCAUAUGGACAUAUAUGAAUCCAACAAUUAAUUCAGCAAAGAAAGCUGCUUGUGGCAAGUUUUGAAUGUGCCAUUCCAGGUAGUGCUUUGAUGAUAAAUGAGGAGAAGAUUGCAAAGAAAAUGACAGCAACAUUUAUAAAAGGAUUCCUCUUAGGACUCUAGAUGCACGGAGAGUGGCCAGAUUAAUACAGACUGGCAAAAGAAGAACUUGGCAAAGUGAUUUGAUCACACACUUCUCACCCUCACAUCUCCUGACAGUUCCCCUAAUCCCUGCCCCACUUCUGCGCCAUGGGCUUCCAUCAGGAAACUCCUUGAUAUCAUCUUCGGUAUGUACCUCAUAAAGUUAAGAAAUGGAAUAUUAAUAACAACUUUUAACAUAAUC
rnacentral:lncRNA from 1 species